GAACUGCGAUAAGUAAUGUGAAUUGCAGAAUUCAGUGAAUCAUCGAAUCUUUGAACGCACCUUGCGCUCCUUGGUAUUCCUUGGAGCAUGCCUGUUUGAGUAUCAUGAAAUCUUCAAAGUAAAUCUUUUGUUAACUCAAUUGGUUUCUACUUUGGUAUUGGAGGUCUUUGCAGCUUCACACCUGCUCCUCUUUGUUCAUUAGCUGGAUCUCAGUGUUAUGCUUGGUUCCACUCGGCGUGAUAAGUUAUCUAUCGCUGAGGACACUGUAAAAGGUGGCCAAGGUAAAUGCAGAUGAACCGCUUCUAAUAGUCCAUUGACUUGGACAAUACUUUUAUGAUCUGAUCUCAAAUCAGGUAGGACUACCCGCUGAACUUAAGC
rnacentral:misc_RNA from 1 species